GAAGCAGGCUAGGGGUGCGGGCGAUCCUCACGAUCGCUUCGCUGAGAUCACACCCUUUGAACCUGAACCGGGUCAUACCGGCGCGAGGGAAGCUCAAGGAGUCACAC
rnacentral:ncRNA from 2 species